rnacentral:rRNA from 1 species
UCAAGAAUAUUCCUCAAUGGGCGAAAGCCUGAAGGAGCGACGCCGCGUGUAUGAUGAAACCCCUCGGGGUGUAAAAUACUUUUAUUAGGGACGAAUCAAUGACGGUACCUAAUGAAUAAGGGGCUGCUAACCUCGUGCCAGCAGCAGCGGUAAUACGAGGGCCCCAAGCAUUAUCCGGAUUUACUGGGCGUAAAGGGUACGCAGACGGUUUUUCGCAUCUCCCGUUAAAUCCCGAGGCUCAACUUCGGAACCGCGGGAGAGAUGGAUAAACUAGAGGCUGGACGAGGCAAAUGGAAUUGCUGGUGUAGGGGUUAAAUCCGUUAAUAUCAGCAGGAACACCAAAUGUGAAGACAAUUUGCUGGGACAGUCCUGACGUUCAGGUACGAAAGCGUGGGGAUCA